rnacentral:rRNA from 1 species
UGGGGGAUAUUGCACAAUGGGCGAAAGCCUGAUGCAGCAACGCCGCGUGAGGGAAGACGGUUUUCGGAUUGUAAACCUCUGUCUUCGGUGAAGAAAAAAAUGACGGUAGCCGAGGAGGAAGCCACGGCUAACUACGUGCCAGCAGCCGCGGUAAUACGUAGGUGGCAAGCGUGGUCCGGAAUUACUGGGUGUAAAGGGAGCGCAGGCGGGGAGACAAGUCAGCUGUGAAAACUAUGGGCUUAACCCAUAAACUGCAGUUGAAACUGUAUAGCUUGAGUGGAGUAGAGGUAGGCGGAAUUCCGAGUGUAGCGGUGAAAUGCGUAGAUAUUCGGAGGAACACCAGUGGCGAAGGCGGCCUACUGGGCUUUAACUGACGCUGAGGCUCGAAAGUGUGGGGAGCAAACA